UACGAAGGGUGCAAGCGUUACUCGGAAUUACUGGGCGUAAAGCGUGCGUAGGUGGUGAGUUAAGUCUGUCGUGAAAGCCCCGGGCUCAACCUGGGAAUGGCGAUGGAUACUGGCUCGCUAGAGUGCGGUAGAGGAGAGUGGAAUUCCCGGUGUAGCAGUGAAAUGCAUAGAUAUCGGGAGGAACAUCUGUGGCGAAGGCGACACCCUGGACCAGCACUGACACUGAGGCACGAAAGCGUGGGGAGCAAACAGG
rnacentral:rRNA from 1 species